GAUGGAUGGAUGAGCUCUGGGAGGGUCUUUCCAACCAUGAAAGAUAAAGAAAUAUAAAUGGCUAUGGAUAAAUGAUUCAUGUUCUUCUGAGAGAUACCUCUCAAUGGGUCGUGAAUAAGGACUGAAAAAAUGUGUGCUCUUGUAAAGGUGGGGAUAAUGGCACCAAGAAUGUUGUGUAGGGGUCGAGGAGGUGGAGUAACUGAGGAGAUGAGAUGAAAUGCAUAUCAUAUUGUCCGGAAAAUUCUAGAGCACGUUAUACCCUUCAGUCUUUCGAUUUGUCAUGUAUGAGUUGAAGAAGAAUGGUUGAUUGUUUCCUUGGCAUGAGUUCAUAAUUUUGUUUACUUGUAUUUGGAUAUAUUCGGAAUUGAGGUAAAUGCAGUUGCAAGUUUUCCUUCUUCAA